GAUGAACGCUGGCGGCGUGCUUAAUACAUGCAAGUCGAACGAGAAGAGAAGAAGGUAACCUUUGGGAGGAUGGCGUUAUAUGGAGGGGUGGAAGGGUGAGUAACGCGCGGGUAAACUGGGAUAAACAGGGGGAUCACAGUUGGAAACGGCAGAUAAUAUUGAAUAAGAUUACAGAAUAGCAAGGUGCGGGGGUAACAACUCUGGUGGUAUGAUAUGGACCCUCGUUGGAUUAGGCAGUUGGGAUGGUAACGGCCCACCAAAGCGACGAUCGAUAGCCGAUCUGUGAGGAUGGCCGGCCACUUUGGGGCUGGGACGCAGCCCAAACUCCUACGCGAGGCAGCAGUGGCGAAUAUUGCACAGUGGCGUAAGCCCUGAUGCAGCUACGCCGCGUGAAUGAAGAAAUAUUUCAGUAUGUAAUGCUCUAUCAGCAAUGAAGAUAAUGACGGUACCUAAGUAAGAAGCCCCGGCUAACUACGUG
rnacentral:rRNA from 1 species